GUCACCAAAUAUGUCAAUGCGGAGCUAUUCAGAGCACUCAUUCUUAUAACAUUUGGGAGUUCGCACAGCGGUGUGGUACAGAGCUCAAUUUUGCCUUUGUAUGCCUCCACAAUUGUGUCACACCUUCCAUAUGGACAAUGGCGACCGUCAUUCAGAGCAGCAGAUCCCCCUCCUCCUCAGAGUCGUUGAGAUCCUCCCUCUCCCUCUUGAUGCUCUCCUCCUUCUUGAUGCUGCAGUGCUGCUGUGAGGACACCUGUCCAGGCUCAGGCUUUGCACCCUUCUCAUCUGCUCGCAGAAAGAGCGCGAUCCGGGUCAAACAAGCCAGAGAAAAAGUAGUCAAAAGUUGAAAAAUGAAAUCACUUAUCUGUACAUACAAGUCAUAGGAAUGCUGAGAUUGCCGGUAUACAUACAGAGUACAAACCACCUCAUUCAUUUUUUUUUUUACGUUAUAAAAGUUGACUGUCCACGUAACCUGGUUCAAACAUCUACCAUGUAACCCUGAAGGAGGCAUUGUAUGCCAAUACAUUAGUUGCUAUACGCAUUAAAUGUUUGGGAGCAUAGUGUGCGACUUUCUUUUUAUAAAAGCAUUGAUCACAUGGUUAAGGUGACACUCCUACACCCUACCUGACUUCUUGCUGUGGUCCUUCUCCAUGCGGUCUAGGCUCUCCAGCAGGUAGUCUACUUUGUGUUUAAUCAUUGUCAGCUCCUUCUUGAUGGUCUGCAGGUCAUCUGUUUUCACUGAGAGAAAGAGAGUGAGAAAAAAAAGAGAUGGAUAAAGGUUUAAGCAAUUGACCCCAAUACCUUAUGAAGCUCUGUAUGCGGUGCUGCGAGAGUAACCUUCAAGCCCUGCACAGUGAGCAUCAGGGCAUAAAAAAAAUAUUUUUGGUCCACCAGCCACAACUUCUUUUCUCUCUAAAAUACAAAAAAAAAAACGUGUAUUAUUCCUAAAACAAUAAAUGUAUUACUAGUAAGAAGUAA